UGAUGUCAAAUCAUUUGAAUUCAACCCAUGGCAAUAUGGUAACUUGUCUGCAGAAUGAGGUACUCCUGCCUUCAUGUUUUGCUUGGUUUAUGCGGUUGUAACUCUUUGUUGGCUUGUUUACAUUUAUAUCUUUUCGACAAUCCUUUAGCAAUUGGGUUGAGAAUUUCAAUUUUUCUUAGUUCUGUUAAUAGCCCUUUUUUU
rnacentral:misc_RNA from 1 species